rnacentral:rRNA from 1 species
UACGGAGGGGGCUAGCGUUGUUCGGAAUUACUGGGCGUAAAGCGCACGUAGGCGGCUUUGCAAGUUAGAGGUGAAAGCCCGGGGCUCAACUCCGGAAUUGCCUUUAAAACUGCAUCGCUAGAAUUGUGGAGAGGUAAGUGGAAUUCCGAGUGUAGAGGUGAAAUUCGUAGAUAUCAGGAGGAACACCGGUGGCGAAGGCGGCCCACUGGGCGU